UGAGGAACAUGACCUUCGGCGGGGGAUAGCCGGCCCAACGGCCGGGUAAUACCGCGUACGACCACAUGGGGACAUCCCUGAGUGGUGAAAGCAGCAAUGCGCCGAUGGAGUGCCUCGCGGCCUAUCAGCUAGUUGGUGAGGUAACGGCUCACCAAGGCAACGAUGCGUAGCCGACCUGAGGAGGGUGAUCGGCCACAUUGGAACUGAGACACGGUCCAGACCUGUACGGGAGG
rnacentral:rRNA from 1 species